UGUGUAGAAAUAAGCUCUUGUAAUAGUUUCAGAGAAAUUAAUAAUUUUAGUAAAAUGUUAAUGGCAAAUGUGCUAAUGUAAAGAGUUAGAAGAUUAGUGUGAUGCAUUCUUUUGCAUUGAAAUAAGAAUAUAAUAAAUGUCCUGCAGGUGACUGAAGCUACUGCAAUUUUAUUGGAGAUUAAAGUUUGAUUGACCUUUGCUGAGGUGAUUAACCCUUCUGAAAUUAAAAGCCAGUGGUAAAUUAUUCUGUCCAAUUUAAAUGCAAA
rfam:Merops nubicus contig31704, whole genome shotgun sequence.